UUCUCUCUCUUUCUUUCUAUUUCUCUCUAUAAAAGAAAGAAUUGUAGAUCUUAUCGGAGAAAAAAUCGGCUUCGCAAGUUGUUGCCUCAACCUCUCUCUCCCAGAUAGCGCAACGCCUACUUGGUAAUCAUAGUUAUCUCUAUUCUUCUUCCAUGCUUAUCUUCUCUUCGUCCUUUCCUUUUUUUGGGGCCACCUUCCAUAAGUUUAUCGUGAUUUCAAGGUUUAAAGCUUGCAUGUGUUGGUUCAAGUGUUAACUCCGAUUAGCUGGUGUUGUUAUUUGCUCUCAGAUGUUCUCGGCACAGAUUAACAUGUUACCAGAUCGAGCUUGUUGUGUUCAGCAUACGUUCAAACUCGACCGGUGAGUGAAUUCUAUGCGAUGCUCGUCAAGUGAGUGGCCUUUUGCGGCUUUGUCCUUUGGUUCGUUGUCUGUUCGACCUGAUCAUAUGUGUUCGGGACUGUUGGCAAAGACCUAGUUUUGAUCUUUCCAACCUAAAAACGAGUUGAAUCAUCCUAAGACCAGAUUAAGAUAUCAAGUACAAUCAUAUCCGCCGUCAAAGGGUUGAAAUUUAUUGACCGGAGAAAUCAUUUUUAGCAGUUUUUUUUUUCAAAGACAAAUCAGCCAAAUUUCUUUGAUUGACUGUUAAGUCAUACAUAUGAUCUCACACUUGCAUGGAGUUCUCUAAAUCUCGUGUUCGUUCUUUGGAUUUUCCUCCUAUCUCAACUGUUGGGAAAAACCUAAUUUUAAUCUUUUCAAGCUAACAAAAACUUGAAUCUUCCGAAGGCCACUUUAAUAUAUCAAGCACAAUCAUGUCCAUCUUCGAACAGUUUAAAUCGUUUGACUUGAGAAAUCACUUUUGGGAGCCAUCGCCAUAUACUCGUGUUAGUUCUUUGAUUUUUCCUCAAGACAAAUCAACCAUGUAUCUCCGAUUGACCUAUGAUUCUUACAUAUGAUCUCACGCACGGAGUUCUCUAUAUCCCGUGUUAGUUCNNNN
rnacentral:lncRNA from 1 species